GGACGAACCGCGUGGCGGCGUGCCUAACACAUGCAAGUCGAACGGGGCGUCUUUGGGAUACGGAGACUUCGGUCAAGUGAAUCUGAGCUUAGUGGCGGACGGGUGAGUAACGCGUGAGCAACCUGCCUUUCAGAGGGGGACAACAGUUGGAAACGACUGCUAAUACCGCAUAAUGUGUUUUGGGGGCAUCCCUGAAACACCAAAGAUUUAUCGCUGAAAGAUGGGCUCGCGUCUGAUUAGCUAGUUGGUGGGGUAACGGCCUACCAAGGCGACGAUCAGUAGCCGGACUGAGAGGUUGAACGGCCACAUUGGGACUGAGAUACGGCCCAG
rnacentral:rRNA from 1 species